GUAUUUAUAAUGUAAGGAAGGAGUUACCAAUAUUCCCUAGCAUGUUCUGGUGCAAACCAUUCUGAGGUGAACAAGCAACACCAGAUAGAUCCUUAGACAGAGCCAUUGAUAUUUGCAGCUUUCAGAUGAAAAUAUUAAUUCUGGAAGAAGCAACCACAUCAUUUUGUAAGCAAAGAACUUUUCUUCAAGAUUAUUUCACAAAUAGCAUAAAAUAUUUGGUCUGACAGUAGUACAUGCUAUAUGUCUCUGAAAGAUUUAUUUCUUAUUGAUGCUUCGCUUCUACAGACUCUGAAAGGUGAUUUUGCCCCCCUCUCAGAUCUAGCCAAGCAGGAACCAAGGGUGUGGGGGGGGUGGCUUGGAGAGGGUGCAUUUCAGGCUCAUGGAAAAGAUGUGUGACCAGUGCUGCUCCAGGAUGGAAAGCAUAAUAAGGGACCCCAAGGAUCCUCCAGCACUGGGGAGCUGAGCCUGGGAUACCCUCCAGGGUCUCUUCCUCAGGUGUACACCCCCCAAGCUGUCUCAGCAGUGGUCCACUCCUGUUGCCAGGUUCUGAACCAAACACCAAGCAUUCUAGGCCAGUACUCUGGCAGAGGCAACUGUCCAAGCAGCCUUGGCCAUGGAGGCUCCAGCCAUUGUGGGUCUCCUGCUUCUAUGGAGGAUUUUUCACUCCCUUAGACGUCGGCUUGCAAUGAGGAGAGAAAAACAGCUCGCUCUUAAGCUGGAAGGACUCAUUCAAGAAAAAUGCCAACUCCUGGACAAGCUGAGGCCUCAAUGGUCUGUGAUGCUGUGGUGCUCAACGGCAAGAUUACAUCAGCUGAAGGCAUCCUGGUUCCUGGAGAACCCAAG
rnacentral:lncRNA from 1 species